rnacentral:rRNA from 1 species
CCUACGGGUGGCAGCAGUGGGGAAUAUUGCACAAUGGGGGGAACCCUGAUGCAGCAACGCCGCGUGGGUGAAGAAGUACUUCGGUAUGUAAAGCCCUGUCAGCAGGGAAGAAAAUGACGGUACGUGACCAAGAAGCCCCGGCUAACUACGUGCCAGCAGCCGCGGUAAUACGUGGGGGGCAAGCGUUAUCCGGAUUUACUGGGUGUAAAGGGAGCGUAGACGGCAAGGCAAGUCUGGAGUGAAGGCCCGUGGCUCAACCACGGGACUGCUUUGGAAACUGUGUUGCUGGAGUGCAGGAGGGGUAAGCGGAAUUCCUAGUGUAGCGGUGAAAUGCGUAGAUAUUAGGAGGAACCCCGGUGGCGAAGGCGGCUUACUGGACUGUAACUGACGUUGAGGCUCGAAGGCGUGGGGAGCAAACAGGAUUAGAUACCCCAGUAGUC